rnacentral:rRNA from 1 species
UAAGUCGAAAGACGAUGUAUAGGGGCUGACGCCUGCCCAGUGCUGGAAGGUUAAGAGGAUGGCUUAGUAUAUGAAGUAAUUCAUUAUAACGAAGGUUUGAAUUGAAGCCCCAGUGAACGGCGGCCGUAACUAUAACGGUCCUAAGGUAGCGAAAUUCCUUGUCGGGUAAAUUCCGACCCGCACGAAAGGCGUAAUGAUCUGGGAACUGUCUCAACCAUAGACUCGGUGAAAUCUUAAUACCUGUGAAAAUGCAGGUUACCCGCGACAGGACGGAAAGACCCCGUGGAGCUUUACUGUAGCUUGAUAUUGGGAUUCGGUAUGUUAUGUAGAGGAUAGGUGGGAGACUAUGAGACUAAGACGUCAGUUUUAGUGGAGUCAACCUUGGAAUACCACCCUUAACAUAUUGAAUUUCUAACUUAGAAUCAUAAUCUGGUUCAAGGACAGUGUCUGGUGGGCAGUUUGACUGGGGCGGUCGCCUCCUAAAAAGUAACGGAGGCGCCCAAUGGUUCCCUCAGAAUGGUUGGAAAUCAUUCAAAGAGCGUAAAGGUAUAAGGGAGCUUGACUGCGAGACUUACAAGUCAAGCAGGUACGAAAGUAGGGCUUAGUGAUCAGGCGAUUCAGUAUGGAAUGGUCGUCGCUUAACGGAUAAAAGUUACCCCGGGGAUAACAGGCUGAUACCACCCAAUAGUUCAUAUAGACGGUGGUGUUUGGCACCUCGAUGUCGGCUCGUCACAUCCUGGAGGUGGAUUCGCUUCCAAGGGUUCGGCUGUUCGCCGAUUAAAGUGGCACGCGAGCUGGGUUCAGAACGUCGUGAGACAGUUCGGUCCCUAUCCGUCGUGGGCGUAGGAAAAUUGAGGAGAGCUGAUUCUAGUACGAGAGGACCGAAUCGGACAUACCUCUGGUGUAUCUGUUGUCACGCCAGUGGCAGCGCAGAGUAGCUAUGUAUGGAAUGGAUAACCGCUGAAAGCAUAUAAGCGGGAAGCCAACUUCAAGAUGAGUUUUCCCAUUUUUAAUAAAGUAAGUUCCCUCAAAGACGAUGAGGUUGAUAGGUUAGAGGUGGAAGCAUGGCAACAUGUUGAGCUGACUAAUACUAAUAGAACGAGGAUUUAAUCCCAUA